rnacentral:lncRNA from 1 species
UGUUUUCCGCCAAUCGGACCAAUCAGAGGUUGGAGGGGCGGGGUGUGACGUCAUGUAGCGCGUAACCUUGAAUUAGUCAAAACAGUUGACAGCAGCAGCCGGCUGUUGGAAACCUACUGGACCUUCUGAGGAAUUAUGCCUAGUUUGGUGGUGGAUGCAGAUAUUGUGACGACGAGGAGAUUGGGACCAGAACACUCCGUGGACCCGCACAGUGUGGACGCACCUGCCGCUGCUGGUGAUUCCACUCAUCUAAGCAUCAUCUUUCUUCAGUCUUCGUCCAGUUCGUCGUCUCAAGUAGUCUCGGGACAUUUGGAGGUGGAGAAGCAGCGUUUGGCAGAGUGAGCAGCCAAGUCUUCAUCUGUUUGUGUGGGAGUAGAGGAGCAUCACGUGUCUUAGGUAAUGAUGCAAGGUAAUAAUUAUAAACUGCAAGAUUUUUGCCAGACUCAAGUGAAACAUCAACCUUGGGAUAAAAUGAGUUUUCCUUCAGUCCUCUGUGUGUGUGCGUGCUGAUCUGCUGAUCGGUAAUGAGUGCAACAAAGAUCACUUUAGGAACAUUGAAAUUACACUUAAUCAGGUUGCUGUAUGAUGAUUGCUUAGCUCUCCAGUCCACAAUCCAUAAAUUUAACUCAUUAUGGAGUCAAGCCUCAAAAUCAGCCCACUGGUAAUUACAAUCAGAUAAUGCAGUUGCAGUAAUUAUAAUGAUUGAGAUAGUAAUAAAAUAUUUCAUCAGAUAAUCA